AGCCUGGGGCCACCAGAGCCAGCCUGGGGCCACCAGAGCCAGCCUGGGGCCACCAGAGCCAGGGAGCCGGGAUGUGCCAAGGCAGAGAAACCAUCUCGUGCUCCAGGGAACAAACCCAGCAGGAUCUGGGCUCUGGGAACGGGCACCACGGUACCCAUGUGGCAAAGCCACCCCAGAAAAGUCAUCUUGGAAAAGCCACCGUGGCACAGUCAUCCUGGCAAGGCCACCCUAAAAAAGCCGUCCCAAAAAAGCCGCCCCGGCAAAGCCACUGCGGCAAAUCCAAUCUGGCAAAGCCACCCCAGCAAUUCCGCCCCAGCAAAGCCACCCCAAAAAAAGUCAUCCCAAAAAAAGCCUCCUCAGAAAAGCCACUGCGGCAAAGCCACCCCGGCAAAGCCGCCAUGGGGAAGCCACCCCAGGAAAAGCCACCCUGGCAACCCCAGGCUGGAAAAGUCUCUGCGGCAAAGCCACCCCAGCCAAGCCACCAUGAAAAUUUCACCCUGGCAAAGCCACCCUGGCAAUUCUGCCUUGGCACAUCCACCCCGGCAGAGCCAUCCUGGCAAAACCACGAUGGAAAAGCCAUCCUGGCAAAUCCACCCUGGCAGAGCCAACCUGGAAAAGCCACCCUGUCAUACCGAGCCCAGCCCUGCCACCCUGGCAAAACCAUGAUGGAAAAGACACCCCGGAAGAGCCAUCCCAGAAAAAACCACUGCGGCAAAGCCACCCUGGCAACUCCACUCUGGAAAAGCCACCCCAGCAAUGCCACCCCAGCAAAGCCACUGCAGCAAAGCCACGGUGACAAUUCUGCCCUGGCACAGCCACCCCGGCAGUGCCACCCUGGCAAUGCCACCCCAUCAAUGCCACCCCAUCAGUGCCACCCCAUCAAUGCCACCCCAUCAAUGCCACCCCAUCAGUGCCACCCUGUCCCUCCUGCCCUGGCACAUCCCCCCCUGUCAGAUCCCUCCUGGCACCCCCCGCCCGGCACAUCCGCCUGGAAUUUCCCUCCCGGGUCCCCAUCCCGGCUCUCACUGGGACACACGAGCGCUUCCUUGGCCGUGAUGCUCUUGUUGCAGGCGAAGCACAUGGUCAUGCCGGACACGGAGAUGGUGGUGAAGAGGUGCCCGUUGGUGUAACGCGCGUCCUUCUCCUUCCCCUCCUUCAUCCUCUCCUUGUCCUUGCCCUGCCCGGACAGCGACACCGG
rnacentral:lncRNA from 1 species